GUCUCCGUGGCGCAAUCGGUUAGCGCGUCUGACUGUUAAGCAUUUACUUGUGAUCAGGAGGUUGGCAGUUCGAGCCUGCCCGGGGACG